AGUCUAUAAGCGGGGGAAUCCGGUGCUGGCUGUGCAGGAGAGCCUCGACCGGCAGGACUCGAAGAGGAGGCGGGUUGGGGCUCGCCGGUUCCUGCCGCCUCGCCGCCACCCGGGCUUCUGGCCCCUACUUUAGCCCUCACGGCGCUCAGCGUCUCCAUGGAGGGAGGGGUGAGAAAGGCGCGCCCUGUCAGCCCAAAGGGCAAAGUUUGAGUCGCCGGAGCCGGCCCAGCCUCUCCGUCUUUAACAGCUACAGCUGCUCCGAGCCUGGGCCGGUUCUUGGCUCAGCCUCUCAGCAGCUGCAAAGUGGCUGUUGGCGCCCUGCAUCGCGCCUGGGCGCAGCUUCUUUACCAGCGUCUGUUUGUAUGUAUGCGUGCUUGCCUCUCCAGAGGUAGGUUGUGCGCUUUCGCUCCUCGCGCGCUUCCCGCAGCCGCUUCAGCGCAGACAAUGGGCUUGCCCCAGUCUCUCUCUGCCUCGCUCGUCCGCCCGCCCGCCAGCCGGUCGCACGCGGGGAUGAGAGGGCGGGGUUUGGCUUCCUGCCGCUGCGGCAGAACCCUAGAGAGGGCGGGGCGGGCGCGGAGAGAAAGAAGAAGCGAGAGAGGAAGAGAAGAACAGGAUGGGAGGAGCAAUAACAACAACCACUGACCGGAUGGAGCCAGCAUAGCAGCAAAGAAGUUAUCAGGAAGUGAUGCCUGAAUUACAGCACAGAACAUGUGCUGAAUAGCUGUAUCUCCACAUUCAGGACCAAUAGGACAUAGCUGACUUGCCAUGGUGAACAUGAAGUUGUCUGGGAUGGGGGAGUACAGCAAUGACUGUACUCUCUCUAAUUUUGUGUAAUGCCAUGCCCUUCACAUGGCAGCUAUAUUAUCACUGGCGUGCUUUGUACUCUCUCCAAAUUUGAAAUGUGCUCCCUGGACCAAAAAGGUUGGCAGCCUCUGCUUUGCACCAUGACCAGACUUUGAUGGUGUAAGGGAGCUUUGGGGAAUACUUUCAGUUAUUUUCUCUCUGUCUCUGAUAUGGCUGGGCCUGCCCGCACCAACUACAACCAUGUCCUUGGGACUCUGGAGCACUAGUGUGAACAACUGUACAAUUGCCCCCAAGACUGCUAAAAGUGCGUACUUGGCAAAGAUCCCAUGAUCUCAUUAAAAAACUUCAACCAACCCAAUUGUAAGUGCUUUCAAUUUACAAAAACCAUUCUCUUCUGUGAAAGUCAAAUUCAGCUGAAGUCAACAGGAAGAGCAUUGCAUAAGAAUUAGGGCUGUGCUCCAUAUUCGGCCAAAUCGGGCCUCAGCUGAGUUGGGCAGACAUAGCCCUGGAUUGCUAUGGGUUCAGCAGAAAAAAAGAGGCAGCCAUGUGUGGAAAGGAAGAGAGAAAUCGGGCAAAGGAAGCCCCUCUUUGCGGGAGAAGGUGGCUGUCUCUUCACCAGACUGCUUUGCCUUCCCACCAGGCCUUCUAAGCCCUCUGCACCAAAUACCCUGACUGCAGGGAAGCCACUCAUGAAAGAGAAGUGCCCCACAGUAGGAAUCCUCUCGCUUAUCAGCUGAGAAGCGGGAUGAUUCAUUCUGUGCAGUUGUAUCCACCUGCUCUCAGUUGGGGGAGAGGAGACAUAGAGUCUCUUCUUCC